ACACUCUCAAGCUUUGCUUGGUAUUGGAGGCCGCCCCGGUGGGGUGCCCCCGAAACACAGCGGCGACGUAGCCGGACUCCCUGGCGUAGUGACAUUUUCGCCGCCCCGGAGUUGUCGGUCUUGCGUUAGCCGGACAACGCCCCCUAUUUUUCUA
rnacentral:misc_RNA from 1 species